CCUGUGGCCUAUCAGUUAGUUGGUGAGGUAACGGCUCACCAAGACGAUGACGGGUAGCUGGUCUGAGAGGACGACCAGCCAGAAUGGAACUGAGACACGGUCCAUACUCCUACGGGAGGCAGCAGUUAGGAAUCUUCCACAAUGGGCGAAAGCCUGAUGGAGCGACACCGCGUGAAGGAUGAAACCCUUAACUGGGCGUAAACUUCUGUUAUGAGGGACAAAAUUUUUGACGGUACCUCAUGAGAAAGCACCGGCUAAUUCUGUGCCAGCAGCCGCGGUAAGACAGAAGGUGCAAGCGUUACUCGGAAUUACUGGGCGUAAAGCGUCUGUAGGUGUCCUUCCACGUCUGGAUUUAAAUUGCGAAGCUCAACUUCGCAUCUGAUCUGGAAACGAGAGGGAUCGAGUCAUUCAGAGGCAUCUGGAAUGUCAUGUGUAGGGGUAAAAUCCGUAGAUACAUGAUGGAACGCCCAAAGCGAAGGCAGGAUGCUAGGAAUGUACUGACACUCAGAGACGAAAGCGUGGGGAGCAAAGGGGAUUAGAUACCCCCGUAGUCCACGCCCUCAACGAUGCGAGCUCGGUGUAGGGAUUUCAAUCUGUCCCUGUGCCUUAGCUUACGCGGUAAGCUCGCCGCCUGGGAAGUACGGCCGCAAGGCUAAAACUCAAAGGAAUUGACGG
rnacentral:rRNA from 1 species